UAUUUAUUAGCAAAGAAAUGAUAACACUCCAUUAUACAAAUACAGUUUUUAUCACGUUGUCUUUCGCGUCACAGGAAACGUUAUCAGGAUAUGAUGGUUUAAUUGUCAACUUGCUCAAUUUCAGACUAAACAUGCGGACUUGUUAUAACCACCCUCUAUGCUUGUCGCAGCCGACGACAAGCUACGACGUAGACUUUUCACGAAAAAGUAGAGAACACUUUUUUUGCGAUUUAUCUAUCUUGUUUAAAUACACUAAAUGAUCCUAUAGGAAAGACCACGCAUACUGCUUAGUAAAUGAUUGGACGAUAUUUUCAAAUCCUCACCCUUGUAACAUUCGGAUAUCACCGUUUGUAUCUGCUGUGAACACAUGCAAUCAUAUAUUUAUUAAAAAAAAAAUUUUGCCA
rnacentral:lncRNA from 1 species